UACGUAGGGUGCAAGCGUUGUCCGGAAUUAUUGGGCGUAAAGAGCUCGUAGGCGGUCUGUCGCGUCUGCUGUGAAAACUCAGGGCUUAACCCUGAGCUUGCAGUGGGUACGGGCAGACUAGAGUGCGGUAGGGGAGACUGGAAUUCCUGGUGUAGCGGUGAAAUGCGCAGAUAUCAGGAGGAACACCGGUGGCGAAGGCGGGUCUCUGGGCCGUAACUGACGCUGGAGGAGCGAAAGCAUGGGGAGCGAACAGGA
rnacentral:rRNA from 1 species